rnacentral:rRNA from 1 species
GCCUACGGGGGGCAGCAGUAGGGAAUCUUCCACAAUGGGCGAAAGCCUGAUGGAGCAACGCCGCGUGGGUGAAGAAGGUCUUCGGAUCGUAAAACCCUGUUGUUAGAGAAGAAAGUGCGUGAGAGUAACUGUUCACGUUUCGACGGUAUCUAACCAAAAAGCCACGGCUAACUACGUGCCAGCAGCCGCGGUAAUACGUAGGUGGCAAGCGUUAUCCGGAUUUAUUGGGCGUAAAGGGAACGCAGGCGGUCUUUUAAGUCUGAUGUGAAAGCCUUCGGCUUAACCGGAGUAGUGCAUUGGAAACU